AUUGAACGCUGGCGGCAUGCCUUACACAUGCAAGUCGAACGGUAACAGGUUAAGCUGACGAGUGGCGAACGGGUGAGUAAUACAUCGGAACGUGCCCAGUAGUGGGGGAUAGCCCGGCGAAAGCCGGAUUAAUACCGCAUACGACCUAAGGGUGAAAGGGGGGGAUCGCAAGACCUCUCGCUAUUGGAGCGGCCGAUGUCAGAUUAGCUAGUUGGGGGGGUAAAAGCUCACCAAGGCGACGAUCUGUAGAUGGUCUGAGAGGACGACCAGCCACACUGGGACUGAGACACGGCCCAGACUCCUACGGGAGGCAGCAGUGGGGAAUUUUGGACAAUGGGCGCAAGCCUGAUCCAGCCAUGCCGCGUGCGGGAAGAAGGCCUUCGGGUUGUAAACCGCUUUUGUCAGGGAAGAAAUCCUUUGGGUUAAUACCUCGGGGGGAUGACGGUACCUGAAGAAUAAGCACCGGCUAACUACGUG
rnacentral:rRNA from 1 species